UGGCUCAGUGGUAGAGCGCUCACCUCACAUGUGCGAGGCCCUGAGUUCAAUCCUCAG
rnacentral:tRNA from 1 species